rnacentral:rRNA from 1 species
GACGUAGGGCGCGAGCGUUGUCCGGAUUUAUUGGGCGUAAAGAGCUCGUAGGCGGCUUGUCGCGUCGUCCGUGAAAACCUGCAGCUCAACUGCAGGCUUGCGGUCGAUACGGGCAGGCUAGAGUUCGGUAGGGGAGACUGGAAUUCCUGGUGUAGCGGUGAAAUGCGCAGAUAUCAGGAGGAACACCGGUGGCGAAGGCGGGUCUCUGGGCCGAUACUGCGCUGAGGAGCGAAAGCGUGGGGAGCGAACAGGAUUGAGACCUACCCGAC